rnacentral:rRNA from 1 species
AUAUUGGGCAAUGGGCGCAAGCCUGACCCAGCCACGCCGCGUGAGUGAUGAAGGCCUUCGGGUCGUAAAGCUCUGUGGGGAGGGACGAAAAAACGCUGGCUAACAUCCAGCGGACUGACGGUACCUCCUUAGCAAGCACCGGCUAACUCCGUGCCAGCAGCCGCGGUAAUACGGAGGGUGCAAACGUUGCUCGGAAUCAUUGGGCGUAAAGCGCACGUAGGCGGUCCGGCAAGUCGGGUGUGAAAGCCCUCGGCUUAACCGAGGAAGUGCAUUCGAAACUACCGGACUUGAGUACUGGAGAGGGUUGCGGAAUUCCCGGUGUAGAGGUGAAAUUCGUAGAUAUCGGGAGGAACACCAGUGGCGAAGGCGGCAACCUGGACAGAUACUGACGCUGAGGUGCGAAAGCGUGGGGAGCAAAC